UAGUACGGCGAGUGAAGCGGCAAAAGCUCAAAUUUGAAAUCUGGUACCUUCGGUGCCCGAGUUGUAAUUUGGAGAGGGCAACUUUGGGGCCGUUCCUUGUCUAUGUUCCUUGGAACAGGACGUCAUAGAGGGUGAGAAUCCCGUGUGGCGAGGAGUGCGGUUCUUUGUAAAGUGCCUUCGAAGAGUCGAGUUGUUUGGGAAUGCAGCUCUAAGUGGGUGGUAAAUUCCAUCUAAAGCUAAAUAUUGGCGAGAGACCGAUAGCGAACAAGUACAGUGAUGGAAAGAUGAAAAGAACUUUGAAAAGAGAGUGAAAAAGUACGUGAAAUUGUUGAAAGGGAAGGGCAUUUGAUCAGACAUGGUGUUUUGUGCCCUCUGCUCCUUGUGGGUAGGGGAAUCUCGCAUUUCACUGGGCCAGCAUCAGUUUUGGUGGCAGGAUAAAUCCAUAGGAAUGUAGCUUGCCUCGGUAAGUAUUAUAGCCUGUGGGAAUACUGCCAGCUGGGACUGAGGACUGCGACGUAAGUCAAGGAUGCUGGCAUAAUGGUUAUAUGCCGCCCGUCUUGAAACACGGACCAA
rnacentral:rRNA from 1 species